rnacentral:rRNA from 1 species
UAGGGUUCGAUUAUGGCUCAGGAUGAACGCUAGCGGCAGGCCUAAUACAUGCAAGUCGAGGGGUAACGUGAUCUGCUUGCAGAUUGACGACGACCGGCGCACGGGUGCGUAACGCGUAUGCAACCUACCUUAUACAGAGGGAUAGCCCAGAGAUAUUUGGAUUAAUACCUCAUAGUACUUUAGAGCCUCAUGGUUUAAAUUAAAACUCCGGUGGUAUAAGAUGGGCAUGCGUUAGAUUAGCUAGUUGGUAGGUAUUGGCUUACCAAGGCGACGAUCUAUAGGGGGUCUGAGAGGAUGAUCUUUUACACUGGAACUGAGACACGGUCCAACUCCUACGGGAGGCAGCAGUAAGGAUUAUUGGUCAAUGGAGGCAACUCUAACCAGCCACGCCGCGUGUGUGAAAAAGCGUUUUGCGUCGUAAAGCACUCCAGAUAGGAAAAAUAUUCUGCGAGAAUCUAUGACGGUACUAUCAGAAUAAGGACCGGCUAACUUCCGUGCCCAGCCCGCCCGCGGUAAUACA